CACUCUUUCCUAUAAUGGAUGAAAGUGUGUAUGUGUGUGUGAGCUGGUGGGCGGACGUCACCACAGCAGCUUGUUUCACAUCUGUUCUGUGUGUUUGUGUCUACAGGUGAACUCUCUGCCAGUUCUCUGGCUCGUUGAUGGGCAGCUAGUGGUCCCUCCUGGAUACCUGAUGCCGGUGCACGACCCCCGCCCCGCUGCAACCACCCAGAGCGCCUGCUGCUCACAGAAGAGGAAGCGAGAUGACCACAGCGAGCCACCAUACGUUAAGAAGCCACCCAACGCCUUCA